rnacentral:rRNA from 1 species
UACGUAGGGACCGAGCGUUGUCCGGAUUCAUUGGGCGUAAAGGGCUCGUAGGCGGCUGCUCAAGUCGAAUGUGAAAACUCGAGGCUCAACCUCGAGCCUGCAUUCGAUACUGGGCGGCUAGAGUCUGGUAGGGGGAUCUGGAAUUCCUGGUGUAGCGGUGGAAUGCGCAGAUAUCAGGAGGAACACCGGUGGCGAAAGCGGCUCACUGGACCUCUUCUGACGCUGAGGCACGAAAGCUAGGGUAGCAAACGGG